rnacentral:lncRNA from 1 species
CGAAAAUGUUUCACAAACAACCGGUAACAGUGUCUAGGGAAAUGCCCGGAUCACAAGGCAGUGAAAAUAAAUCAGAGAAAUGGCUCAGGAUAAAGGACACAGUGGAAAAUUUUCAACUUUCUCCAGGUAGUAGCACAAGUAGUGGUGGUGGCUGUUGUUUUCAUUAUUUCUCUUCUUCUUCCUCUUCUUUACCCUCUGCUGUUAUUAUUAUUUUAAAAUCUGUGGUAAACUAUGCAUAAAAUUAUGACUGUGGGAGUCUACAGGAUGGAAUCACAGCACUCAUGCUAUGAAGCAGCGAGGGGACUUACAGGUGAGUUGAUACUGAGCUACGUUCAU